rnacentral:rRNA from 1 species
GACGAACGCUGGCGGCGUGCUUAACACAUGCAAGUCGAACGGAGUGGCGAACGGGUGAGUAACACGUGGGUGACCUGCCCUGCACUUCGGGGUAAGCCUGGGAAACAGGGUCUAAUACCGGAUAGUGUGGGAUGGGCCCGCGGCCUAUCCGCUUGUUGGGGGGGUAAUGGCCUACCACGGCGGCGACGGGUAGCCGGGCUGAGAGGGUGGACGGCCACAUUGGGACUGAGAGACGGCCCAGACUCCUACGGGAGGCAGCAGGGGGGAAUAUUGCACAAUGGGCGGAAGCCUGAUGCAGCGACGCCGCGUCGGUGAUGACGGCCUUCGGGUGGUAAACUCCUUUCACCAUCGACGCGGUAGAUGGAGAAGAAGCACCGGCUAACUACGUGCCAGCAGCCGCGGUAAUUC